UUUGAUCCUGGCUCAGGACGAACGCUGGCGGCGUGCCUAAUACAUGCAAGUCGAGCGAAUGAUGAAGAAGCUUGCUUCUUCUGAUUUAGCGGCGGACGGGUGAGUAACACGUGGGCAACCUGCCCUGUAGAUUGGGAUAACUCCGGGAAACCGGGGCUAAUACCGAAUAAUCCAUUNCCUCACAUGAGGAAAUGUUAAAAGACGGUUUCGGCUGUCACUACAGGAUGGGCCCGCGGCGCAUUAGCUAGUUGGUGAGGUAACGGCUCACCAAGGCGACGAUGCGUAGCCGACCUGAGAGGGUGAUCGGCCACACUGGGACUGAGACACGGCCCAUACUCCUACGGGAGGCAGCAGUAGGGAAUCUUCCACAAUGGACGAAAGUCUGAUGGAGCAACGCCGCGUGAGGAAGAAGGUUUUCGGAUCGAAAAACUCUGUUGGGAGGGAAGAACAAGUACGAGAGUAACUGCUCGUACCUUGACGGUACCUUAUUAGAAAGCCACGGUUAACUACGUGCCAGCAGCCGGGGUAAUACGUAGGUGGCAAGCGUUGUCCGGAAUUAUUGGGCGUAAAGCGCGCGCAGGCGGUUCUUUAAGUCUGAUGUGAAAGCCCACGGCUCAACCGUGGAGGGUCAUUGGAAACUGGGGGACUUGAGUGCAGAAGAGGAAAGCGGAAUUCCAAGUGUAGCGGUGAAAUGCGUAGAGAUUUGGAGGAACACCAGUGGCGAAGGCGGCUUUCUGGUCUGUAACUGACGCUGAGGCGCGAAAGCGUGGGGAGCAAACAGGAUUAGAUACCCUGGUAGUCCACGCCGUAAACGAUGAGUGCUAAGUGUUAGGGGGUUUCCGCCCCUUAGUGCUGCAGCUAACGCAUUAAGCACUCCGCCUGGGGAGUACGGUCGCAAGACUGAAACUCAAAGGAAUUGACGGGGGCCCGCACAAGCGGUGGAGCAUGUGGUUUAAUUCGAAGCAACGCGAAGAACCUUACCAGGUCUUGACAUCCCGCUGACCGACCUAGAGAUAGGCUUUUCCCUUCGGGGACAGCGGUGACAGGUGGUGCAUGGUUGUCGUCAGCUCGUGUCGUGAGAUGUUGGGUUAAGUCCCGCAACGAGCGCAACCCUUGAUCUUAGUUGCCAGCAUUCAGUUGGGCACUCUAAGGUGACUGCCGGUGAUAAACCGGAGGAAGGUGGGGAUGACGUCAAAUCAUCAUGCCCCUUAUGACCUGGGCUACACACGUGCUACAAUGGACGGUACAGAGGGUCGCAACCCCGCGAGGGUGAGCUAAUCCCAUAAAACCGUUCUCAGUUCGGAUUGUAGGCUGCAACUCGCCUACAUGAAGCCGGAAUCGCUAGUAAUCGUGGAUCAGCAUGCCACGGUGAAUACGUUCCCGGGCCUUGUACACACCGCCCGUCACACCACGAGAGUUUGUAACACCCGAAGUCGGUGGGGUAACCCUUUUGGGAGCCAGCCGCCGAAGGUGGGACAGAUGAUUGGGGUGAAGUCGUAA
rnacentral:rRNA from 1 species